UAAUGUACGUGGCGGGGCCGGCAACGACAACUGGUGUCUUGAGAAGGGAAGGAAUUGCGGCCCAGCUCCGACCCGUUGCUGUAAGGGAUUGAAGUGUGAACGGACUGGAGAGCCCGAUGGCUUCACCUGGCUAGAGUGUAAGCCAGCGUAAUCCACACUGUUUGGCCUUUGCCAGAUUGCACGGCAAUUUCUUUUUGCCAUGGCUUCGAAGUAACUAGGCAUUGGAGCUUUGCUUUUCGGUCAUCAUCGAAGAAGACAGUCAGUCGGCUCUUUGCCGAACGGAAAUUUUCUCUUGAUUUUCAUUAUGAAUUCAUUUCGCUUCGGGCAACAGAGCUCUUUUUUAUUGGACUGCAGGUUGGAUUUUUAAGACGGACGGACAGAAUACCGUUUUGGCUAG
rnacentral:sRNA from 2 species